rnacentral:rRNA from 1 species
CCAAACCGACACAGGUGGUCAGGUAGAGAAUACCAAGGCGCUUGAGAGAACUCGGGUGAAGGAACUAGGCAAAAUGGUGCCGUAACUUCGGGAGAAGGCACGCUGACACGUAGGUGAAGUGAUUUACUCAUGGAGCUGAAGUCAGUCGAAGAUACCAGCUGGCUGCAACUGUUUAUUAAAAACACAGCACUGUGCAAACACGAAAGUGGACGUAUACGGUGUGACGCCUGCCCGGUGCCGGAAGGUUAAUUGAUGGGGUCAGCGUAAGCGAAGCUCCUGAUCGAAGCCCCGGUAAACGGCGGCCGUAACUAUAACGGUCCUAAGGUAGCGAAAUUCCUUGUCGGGUAAGUUCCGACCUGCACGAAUGGCGUAAUGAUGGCCAGGCUGUCUCCACCCGAGACUCAGUGAAAUUGAACUCGCUGUGAAGAUGCAGUGUACCCGCGGCAAGACGGAAAGACCCCGUGAACCUUUACUAUAGCUUGACACUGAACAUUGAGCCUUGAUGUGUAGGAUAGGUGGGAGGCUUUGAAGUGUGGACGCCAGUCUGCAUGGAGCCGACCUUGAAAUACCACCCUUUAAUGUUUGAUGUUCUAACGUGGACCCGUAAUCCGGGUUGCGGACAGUGUCUGGUGGGUAGUUUGACUGGGGCGGUCUCCUCCUAAAGAGUAACGGAGGAGCACGAAGGUUGGCUAAUCCUGGUCGGACAUCAGGAGGUUAGUGCAAUGGCAUAAGCCAGCUUGACUGCGAGCGUGACGGCGCGAGCAGGUGCGAAAGCAGGUCAUAGUGAUCCGGUGGUUCUGAAUGGAAGGGCCAUCGCUCAACGGAUAAAAGGUACUCCGGGGAUAACAGGCUGAUACCGCCCAAGAGUUCAUAUCGACGGCGGUGUUUGGCACCUCGAUGUCGGCUCAUCACAUCCUGGGGCUGAAGUAGGUCCCAAGGGUAUGGCUGUUCGCCAUUUAAAGUGGUACGCGAGCUGGGUUUAGAACGUCGUGAGACAGUUCGGUCCCUAUCUGCCGUGGGCGCUGGAGAACUGAGGGGGGCUGCUCCUAGUACGAGAGGACCGGAGUGGACGCAUCACUGGUGUUCGGGUUGUCAUGCCAAUGGCACUGCCCGGUAGCUAAAUGCGGAAGAGAUAAGUGCUGAAAGCAUCUAAGCACGAAACUUGCCCCGAGAUGAGUUCUCCCUGAGACUUAGAGUCUCCUGAAGGAACGUUGAAGACGACGACGUUGAUAGGCCGGGUGUGUAAGCGCAGCGAUGCGUUGAGCUAACCGGUACUAAUGAACCGUGAGGCUUAACCUUACA